GAUGAACGCUGGCGGCGUGCCUAAUACAUGCAAGUCGAGCGAACAGACGAGGCGCUUGCUCCUUUGACGUUAGCGGCGGACGGGAGAGUAACACGUGGAUAACCUACCUAUAAGACUGGGAACAUUUCGGGAAACCGGCGCUAAUACCGGAUAAUAUACUGAACCGUAUGGUUCAAUAGUGAAAGACGGCUUUGCUGUCACUUAUAGCUGGAUCUGCGCCGCUUUAGGUAGUUGGUAGGGUAACGGCUUACCAAGGCUACGAUGCGUAGCCGACCUGAGAGGGUGGUCGGCCACACUGGAACUGAGCCGCGGUCCAGACUCCUGCGGGAGGCAGCAGUAGGGAAUCUUCCGCAGUAGGCGGGAACUUGGCAGAACGAGGCCGCGUGAGUGGUAGAAGUCUUCGGAUCGUAAAGCUCGGUUAUUGGGGAAGAACAAAUGUGUAAGUAACUGUACACGUCUUGACGGUACCUAGUCAGGAAGCCACGGCUAACUACGUG
rnacentral:rRNA from 1 species